rnacentral:misc_RNA from 1 species
GAAAUGCGAUAAGUAAUGUGAAUUGCAGAAUUCAGUGAAUCAUCGAAUCUUUGAACGCACAUUGCGCUCGCCAGUAUUCUGGCGAGCAUUCCUGUUCGAGCGUCAUUUCAACCAUCAAGCUCUGCUUGCGUUUGGGAUCCGCGGCUGCCCGCGGUCCCUCAAAAACAGUGGCGGGCUCGCUAGUCACACCGAGCGUAGUAACUCUACAUCGCUAUGGUCGUGCGGCGGGUUCUUGCCGUAAAACCCCCAAUUUCUAAGGUUGACCUCGGAUCAGGUAGGAAUACCCGCUGAACUUAAGC